GGUUACUUUCAUACCAGCACUAAUGCACCGGAUCCCAUUAGAACUCCGUGGUUAAGCGUGCUUGGGCGAGAGUAGUACUAGGAUGGGUGACCCCCUGGGAAGGCCUCGUCUUGCAACCC
rnacentral:rRNA from 1 species